UCUUCAAGCUGGUGCACGCUGCAGCGCCUCUCCUACCCCCCCCCGCCCUUUCCGCCUUGUCGUUUCGCGUUCACAUCAGCGCCCCAAUCGACUCCGCACAUCUGCGCUCAUUGCACCAUCUCAGCUCACGCCUGCACCUGAUCCCUUUCAUUGGUUGCUUGCUCUUCUCUGUGGCUUGAAGUUUCUCUCCCGUUCCAUGGCUGCGCGCGUGGUGCUCCUCCGUCCAACUGCUUCCUAUACGCCUGUGCCCAUCAGUGCGUGACCGCCUCAUUUCGUUAGGUUGCUUGCAGCGCUCGACGCCUCAUCCGCCCCGGAAGCACACCUGCGCGCUCAUCGCCUGCGUGCGAGGGUACUCUGGCGCUCUCUUCCCUGAGUGAAACCUCUCAAAUACUUUGGAGGUUGUUGUCGUUGUUGCCUGCCAAGAGUUUCUCUCUCUCUCUAUAUAUAUAUAUAUAUUGCUGCCUUCUGCACGUUGCUACCCCUCCGCUAGUGGGCUGGUCUUUCCCACCCCCCUCUCGGCUUUGGGACCUGUGGUUCGCUCGUUGUGUUGCUCUCUCUCGCCCCCUUCCACCCCCCACACACAUAUACACCCGGGCUUCACCGCGAUACAGAUAGAAGCGGCCCGCCUCCACACCUUCGUUCCUCGCCCUCUUCCCGCGCAAUCACUACCGCCGCCGUUGCGCGCAGGAAAACGGUGGAUAAGAGCUUCUACGAGCGGCGCGCUGACAACCCCUCAGGAUGACGCGAAAGGUUGCCGCGGCAGCCGUCCUGGCAACCGCAGCACUUCUACUGCUGCACACAGCCUCCUUUGCCUCCGUGGCAGCGGCGGCAGUGUCCCCAACACAUGUGUCGUCGCCGCCGACGGCGGCGCAGCGCCAACGCCUCCGCUCCUUGGCUGCCUACGCAGAGCGGGUCGGGAUGGCUCUGGAGCUCUUCGUUGGCAGGCACUACGAGAGCGAUACCACCGAUAUCAAAGCCACUGCAAGCCAAUUCGCAGAAGACAGCCACUUGCAUCCUUCUGCAAUCUCCGCGCCAAUGCCAAGCGCCGAUCGCAUGCCACUGCUUGGGUUUGUCACGCAGUGCCUGCAGCAUCCCCACAUCGUGGUCCAGUCCAGCGUUCAGUCGGUGAUGAGAUUCGCCAGCGCUGGCCGCACGCUUGCGUCUGUCUUGGUCGGAGCCUCUCUCGACAAGGACACAGAGGCGCUCCUCGCCAAGGUAGAGGCAGAUGCGGACCUCCACGCGGAAGUGGGGAGUGCCAUGGCGCCGCUUUUCGUGUCGCCGACCAACGCGCACAGGACCCCUGCAGCUAUUCGGCAAGCGGCCCGAGCGGUGAGCACACCGCCCACCAAGGUCGCACCGCUGCGCCAGGUAUUUCGCAGCUCGAUCCACCAGCCGGCGGAGACGCUGGUGACGCAGCCUGCAGAGGUGACACCUCUCAGCUGCAUCAGCGGUGUCAACGCCUACUCCUCCAACGCCAUCGUUGCAUGCAGAAACUCGAAUGACACCUACACGGCAGCGGAGUAUGUGUCACUUUCCUUGCAUGAGCAGGAGCAGUGCGACGGGUACAUCUCCAAAGACGAGCCGUUCACCGAGACCUGCGUGUGCGCGCAAGACUACUACAUGACCUACGUCAACGAAAGCAGCUAUCUGUGCCGCAGUCGACCGCUGGACGUGCAGAUCCUUCUCGAGGACAAACACCUGUGCUUCAGUCAGGCUGAUGUAGCGCUGGGGUUGCCGGGAACCAUGGAAGGGGAGUACUGCAUCAAGACGAAUCGAAACGGUACGCUACAGCUGCCUGUCACGUGGAAGUACAACUUCCUCAGCGACGAAGCCAUGCUGGCUGCAUCGGUAUUCAGUCAUCAUGUGCCUCCACAGGUGCCACAGGAAUCAGAAGGCCUACAGUGGGUGGUCAUGAGCGGCAGCAGACCUGUUAUGGGCAACUACAGUGAGCUGUCGAUGAGCACAGACGUCUUCAGCUACUUGGUGGCCGGCUAUGCUGGUUCGGGUCAGUCGCCGCCGUCGCCGAACGACGUCGGGUUUUACUUAUCGGCCAGCACGGAGCUGCUUUCCGCCGCCGCCUUCUCGGCUGUGUUCUGCUUCACCUCGCCGCGCAAGACGAAGGAUCAGCUGAAGGAGGUGCCACUGAAGACAGAGUCAGUGCUGAAGCAGUAUCUCGGCAACCCCGAUGGCGUCUCCUCGCACUCGCUGACCCUCGACCUCUCCACUGUCCCCAACGAAUUCGUGGAGGGCAACCAGAUGUACGUGGAGGUGGGUCUCAAGGGGGGCCCGUCCAUCUACUACUACCGCGUCGCUCGCAUUCACGUUUCUUUCACGGACCUCGCCGAGCCACCCACCAACGCGCAUGAGUACAAGAAGCCGCUCGACCCGCUCUACACUCUCCUGAUCGCCGCUGUCAGCGCCCUCGUCAUCGGCACCGGGCUGGCUGUGCUCUGGUACUACUGCAUGCAGCCCGAUGACUAUGACGACCGGCUCGUGUCGGAUGCGCAGCGUAAGAAGGCGCAGAAGCACCAUCCCGGCGUGAACUCAAGGUCCGUCGACUAAGAGCACAGCACCGACAUGGCUAGGCCGACUGGACAAGGAUGGGCCGGAGAGGAGCGGAGAGCACACCAAGAAGCGUUUGCAGUGACACAGCAGGAUUCAGUACACGCGAGUCGGCAAAUGAGUUCAACGGUGUCUCUCGCAAGCGGACGCCGUCUCGGCACACGGCAUUCCGCACCUCCUCCUUUCUUUCUCAUUCCCUCUGCUAUCACGCCCUGCUUCCCACUCUCUGGCCCAUCAUGGCUUCUUGGUAGAGCGAGCAGGGGGGCAGUCACGCAUGCACGCGCGAGUCUGCGCGCGUUCCCGCUUGCGGUUGCCUCCUAUCUCUCCUUUGCGAUUUUCAUUUGGAUUUACGUGGGCACUCGACACGACCCCCACCAUCACCUCCGUGCUUGAUUGUGUCGGCGCGCACUCGGCCCAUGCGGGUGUGCGCACGUGCAUCUGAGUGCUUGGAUGCGUACUUGCGCUUUAUCUGUUUUGCUUGUGGGCACCGCCAGAAACGGGGCCCUCCCCUCACCAUCACCCUCAACCUGUGCAAACCUCACCUGCGAUUUUUCGUGCUCCUCAUGAGAGAAGGGGACACACCUCUCAGCGCGUGGUGUCUCAGGGCCUCGUGCACCCACACAACCCGCCACUCUCUCUCUGUUAGGGAGGCCAAACAGCCCCCCCCCCCCUCUUCUACCUCUGCCAAUGCAGAACCCACCUCUGGCGGUGCGUCGGGGCGAGGCUCGACAGUGAACACGUCUGUGCCAUCCAUACGAUGGGCAACACGUGUCAGGGUGACUCGAGCGUAUGCCUCACACGGCCCACUGAUGUGUGGGGAGGAGCCUGUGUGCCACCCCGAGGGAGGGGGGAGGGGGGAUGCACCAGGCGUGGCGACCGGCAUGAUUGGGGGGCGGCUGUGUGGGGUGGGGGAGUAGAGCUUGAGACAGGGUCGGUCAUGGGGCGUGGUGUGGCGCUCAGCGCGUGCUGCGCCGCAGAGAAAUAAACAUGCACGCACACACACACGUUGAAGCGAAACGAAAAUGCCGUCGUUGAGCUAAACGAUGUGUAGGCCACUGCGCGACACAAAGUCGUCUCGACACAGGCAUCAUUGAUGCACACCGGCACCCACCGUGCUUCUCUGAAUGUGCGUGCCGUGCUCAGGUUGCUUACAGGCAUCGCUCAUGCUUGUGUGCGAACCUACAACUUGAACUCGCGCAGGUGCGUCUCUGCCUCCGUUCUCCUCACCACCAAACAUGCCUCCAUUUUCACUCUCCCGCGCGCCGUACGGCCCGUCCACAUGUUGAUGUGCCGCUGGCCCCUCCCCCUCCCCCUCUUCCUACACCCCUCCCCACACGCGCACCCGCCCGACGGCUUUGUGGUCCCCCUGCCGAUUGAUGUAUCGUCUCUCAG
rnacentral:misc_RNA from 1 species